AGAGUUUGAUCAUGGCUCAGGACGAACGCUGGCGGCGUGCUUAACACAUGCAAGUCGAACGAGGACCAGGGUGCUUGCACCCUGUAGCCGAGUGGCGGACGGGUGAGUAACACGUGAUUAACCUGCCUUCGGGAGGGGGACAACCCGGGGAAACCUGGGCUAAUACCGCAUAUCGUCCUGGUGUCGCAUGGCACUUGGAUAAAAGGGGGCCUCUGCUUGCAUGCUCUCGCCCGAAGAGGGGGUCGCGACGUAUCAGCUUGUUGGUGAGGUAACGGCUCACCAAGGCUACGACGCGUAGCGGGUCUGAGAGGACGACCCGCCACAUUGGGACUGAGAUACGGCCCAGACUCCUACGGGAGGCAGCAGUGGGGAAUAUUGCGCAAUGGUCGAAAGACUGACGCAGCGACGCCGCGUGUGGGAGGAAGCCUUUCGGGGUGUAAACCACUGUCAGGAGGGAAGAAUUCCGGUUUCGAAAAUAUCGUUUCCGGUUGACGGUACCUCCAGAGGAAGCGCCGGCUAACUCCGUGCCAGCAGCCGCGGUAAGACGGAGGGCGCAAGCGUUGUUCGGAAUUACUGGGCGUAAAGCGCGCGUAGGCUGCCUGUUAAGUCUUUUGUGAAAAUCCGGGGCUCAACCCCGGAAU
rnacentral:rRNA from 1 species